rnacentral:lncRNA from 1 species
CUUUGUAGGAGCCUAAAGUUUCUAACCAAUGGGCCAGCAAGAGUGAGGGGCGCAUGGCUCUUUGCGCAUGCGCCUUCGGGGCCCAAGUCUGCCCCUCUCCGGUUUAGCACCAAGAGGAUGAGACAGCUGCAGCUGAGAUUGGAAGCUGACUGUGCACAGGGUGCACUGUCAUUUCUUCUGCAAAGCACCGUAGUAUUCCUGUUUGAUCUGAGCCUGGGGUCACUGUGUCAGGACUGCCGGUGAAGAAGAGAAAGUAACUCACAAAGAAAAAUGACACGUUCUCCAGGAUCACACAGGGUAUCCAGUGCACACAUCUGAAGAUUCCUCUCCUGCCAGCCCUUAGAGUGAAUCUGUGAAUGUGGCUGUUCUGAGAUUACCACCAUAUCAAGCUUGGGCAUCCUUUCUUACACUCAGCUCUGUUUCUAGCUCAUCUUGCCUCUCACAGUGCAACUAAGAGCAAGCUCCGUACGCUGCUUUCACCGUACCUUAAGGAAACCCUCCACGGCCCUGUCUAUCUUCCUGCUGAAGUUGACUAAGGUCAGCCACAGUGGGGAAUGAGAUCUGCUUCUUCCUCCACUCGUGUGCACCUUAGCUUUGCAGCCCCCCUCCCCUGCUGCCUUCUUUGGGUGCUCGGUAGAAUGCCGACUCCAGUUGACCCCUUGAUCACCGAGACGUCCCCACUCAUAGACUGAUGCUCUGUUUAUCAUAAGGGGUCACUAAAUAUUUGCUAAAUGAGUGGAUGAAAUUAUUUCACCAAGGAUACACUGAAAG